AACUGAUAUGGUUCCCAUCUUCAAAAAAAAAUCUGUCAACAUCUAGAAUCGAGGAAAGUAAUAACUAGCUAUCAGCAUGGGUUUGUUAAAAACAAAUCAUGCCAAACCAAUCUUAUUUCAUUCUUCAACAUAGUGACUAAAUUAGUAGACUGGUGAAAUAC